rnacentral:rRNA from 1 species
GAUGAACGCUGGCGGCGUGCCUAAUACAUGCAAGUCGAGCGAAUGGAUUAAGAGCUUGCUCUUAUGAAGUUAGCGGCGGACGGGUGAGUAACACGUGGGUAACCUGCCCAUAAGACUGGGAUAACGCCGGGAAACCGGGGCUAAUACCGGAUAGCAUUUUGAACCGCAUGGUUCGAAAUUGAAAGGCGGCUUCGGCUGUCACUUAUUGAUGGACCCGCGUCGCAUUAGCUAGUUGGUGAGGUAACGGCUCACCAAGGCAACGAUGCGUAGCCGACCUGAGAGGGUGAUCGGCCGCACUGGGACUGAGACACGGCCCAGACUCCUACGGGAGGCAGCAGUAGGGAAUCUUCCGCAAUGGACGAAAGUCUGACGGAGCAACGCCGCGUGAGUGAUGAAGGCUUUCGGGUCGUAAAACUCUGUUGUUAGGGAAGAACAAGUGCUAGUUGAAUAAGCUGGCACCUUGACGGUACCUAACCAGAAAGCCACGGCUAACUACGUGCCAGCCGCCGCGGUAA